UGCCUGGUGUAAUGGUAUGAGUGUUGGACUAGGACUCUAGAGACCAGGUUCGAUUCCCAGCUAGGCCA